AUGAACGCUAGCUACAGGCUUAACCCAUGCCAGUCGAGGGGCAGCGGUAUCGAAAGCUUGCUUUCGGUAGCCGGCGACCGGCGCACGGGUGAGUAACGCGUAUCGAACCUGCCUCAUACUCGGGAAUAGCCUUGCGAAAGUAAGAUUAAUGCCCGGUGUUUUCAGAGUCCCGCAUGAGGCUUUGAACAAAGAUUUAUCGGUAUGAGAUGGCGAUGCGUCCCAUUAGCUUGUUGGCGGGGUAACGGCCCACCAAGGCAUCGAUGGGUAGGGGUUCUGAGAGGAAGGUCCCCCGCAUUGGAACUGAGGCACGGUCCAAACGCCUACGGGAGGCAGCAGUGAGGAAUAUUGGGCAAUGGGCGGAAGCCUGAACCAGCCAAGUAGCGUGCAAGAAGACGGCCCUCCGGGUGGUAAACUGCUUUUAGUUGGGAAUAAAACGGGGCUCGUGAGCCCCCUUGCAUGUACCAUCAGAAAAAGGACCGGCUAAUUCCGUG
rnacentral:rRNA from 1 species